CGGGACGGUCCCCCGAGACAUACGAGGGCAGGAGUGGGGGACCCACAGGUUCCACGCCGGUCCGCGCCGGCCUGCACGCAGGCCCGCGCGCGAACGGCUCGGGGUGAAGCCACCGCACGGUGGCGGGGCACUUUCCAGCCCUAAUCCGACAGCUGACCUCACAGGCGUGGGAAAGGAAGCA
rnacentral:sRNA from 1 species